GGGAUGUUAGCUCAACCGGCAGAGCUGGCGGCUCAUAACCGCUUGGUUGAGGGUUCAAGUCCCCCACGUCCCACCA
rnacentral:tRNA from 1 species